rnacentral:lncRNA from 1 species
ACCUCUUAGAUUCAGGUAUAAAAAUCUGUGUUUGCCCAUCCUGAGGGGUCUUGGGGGCUUCUGGAAUAAAACAACCCUGUUCCCCCCCCAAGUCCCAUGUCUCCUCCGUCUGUCCCCGCGUCUGAACUGAGACUGCAGAGCAGCCAAAAGGGGGAACGUCUGACUCUCCUCCUCCUCUCCUGUCACUAAAUCUCGCCGCUGCUCGGGGGAGAAAAGCAGAUGGCACGCACCACAACAGAUGGUAGCAGAGAAUGGUUUCGUUUUUCAUUUUGUGAUUCGUGGUGGCGCCCGCCUCACAGAAGAGGAAGGAGGAAAGAGAAACACCCGCAGCCGCGAAAGCUCUGCACGACGCUAAGAGGAACCCAGAGCUGAGCAGAAAAAAACUGAGGUUCCCAGACCCUCUUCUCAUCUGUGCUCUCUAUCCCGGCUGGAGACAGCCACGCUGCGGGGCAGCCGUGCUGCAGUGGGCCUUAAGGGGGGUAGACUUACCCCAGGACAGAGAGAGAGGUUUUGGCAGUGCUCGAUGGACUGAGCCCGAAGAAUGGCGCGUCAGAGCUUGCCGCUGACAGCACUUGCUUGAGUCACCAGAGACUAAUAGUUGCUGAAUCCAAGGCUUCAGGGACAAGCCUUGGUUAACGGGAACACCUAGGUCUCUGGAAGAGCCAAACCGUGAAAGACAACGUUCCCAGUUCAGCGCAAUUUUUCCAUCACCCGAGGACAACGAACGAGCCACAACCACCCCCGCCUGGAGGAAAAAAAGAUCAUCCUAUUUGAUUAUUGUUCAUAAUGCUGUGCCCACUUCGCAAUCAAACAAUCAAAUCAGAGAAGCCACAUCGCUGCUUGCUUCUCCAGCUCUGCAAGAACUUAAACACCACAAGCGUUGUAAAAGAUCAAGCCAUGAAUCCUGCUUGUACCUCUAAUCUGGAAGAAUUUGUUUAAGACAAUUUUAUAUGUUUUGUUUUAAGUUUUAAAGUGAAGAAAAAUUUUACCCCAUAUAUUGUAAUUAAGAUUGAGUUAUCCUUGUCUGUUGUUUUUCAAUUUAUGAUCUUUUAAUAAUCUGUAAUAUUACUAUAUGACUUUUAUGUUUUAUUAAUUUGUUUAAACCUCAUAACUCUCUUUAUUUUUGAACAAAAGGAUUGAGAUGUUGAGGCAGGAUUUUUCUCUUUAUUAAUGUCUGUUUAAUGCCUGCUCAUUACCCUCCAACCCCC